rnacentral:rRNA from 1 species
UACGUAGGUGGCAAGCGUUGUUCGGAAUCACUGGGCAUAAAGCGCGCGCAGGUGGUCCUUCAAGUCAGAGGUGAAAGCCCAGGGCUCAACCCUGGAACGGCCUUUGAGACUAGAGGACUUGGGUACGGGAGAGGUGAGUGGAAUUCCGAGUGUAGAGGUGAAAUUCGUAGAUAUUCGGAAGGACACCAGUGGCGAAGGCGGCUCACUGGCCCGUUACCGACACUCAGGCGCGACAGCGUGGGGAGCAAACAGG